GACGAACGCUGGCGGCGUGCUUAACACAUGCAAGUCGAGCGAGAGAACCUCCUUCGGGAGGGACUCUAGCGGCGGACGGGUGAGUAACACGUGGGCAACCUGCCUUAUAGAGAGGAAUAGCCAUCCGAAAGGAUGAUUAAUACCUCAUAAUAUUGUAACUUCGCAUGGAGCAACAAUCAAAGGAGCAAUCCACUAUAAGAUGGGCCCGCGGCGCAUUAGCCAGUUGGUGAGGUAACGGCUCACCAAGGCGACGAUGCGUAGCCGACCUGAGAGGGGGAGCGGCCACAUUGGGACGGAGACACGGCCCAGACUCCUACGGGAGGCAGCAGUGGGGAAUAUUGCACAAUGGGGGAAACCCUGAUGCAGCAACGCCGCGUGAGUGAUGACGGCCUUCGGGUUGUAAAGCUCUGUCUUCAGGGACGAUAAUGACGGUACCUGAGGAGGAAGCCACGGCUAACUACGUGCCAGCAGCCGCCGCUGUAA
rnacentral:rRNA from 1 species